UGCUGAUGGAAGCUCUCCCUGUUCAGUCCCAUCUCCACAUCCUUUCCUGGGCUGUGUCUCCACCUUGUGGAUGCUGCCAAACCCACACUCUUCCAGUCCACACUCUUCACAACCCAAACAUGCUGAGGGUAGACGCCUCAAAGGCGAGGAGACACUAGCCCCAGCUGUCCGGGAGCACCAAUGGUCAUUACCCCUUCUCAUCCCUGCAGACGCUGGCACGGUGCUGAAGGUGAUCUCGGUCCCCAAGGGCAGUAGGCCCAGCGCAGAGGGGCUGCUCCUGGAGGAGCUGCACGUGUUUGAGGUGAGGCCUCGCCCCCAGUCGCCCGGGACCCCCCCACCCCCCUAAGCCCUGACCCCGUCGCCCCUCCUCCCUCUCAGGACUCGGCCGCUGUCACGAGCAUGCAAAUUUCUUCCAAGAGGGUGAGUGACCAGGAUGGGGAUCGGGGUGGGAUGGACUGAGCUUGUGCCUGGCGCGUCCCAAGCCUCUGGCCCCUUUUGGUAGUUUGCAGUCCCGGGUUUGAGUACAGGCUCUGGCUUUGCUAGACUGUGUGACCUGAGGCGUAAGACCUCAGUGUUCCCAUCUGUCGAGUGGGAGAAGGGAUCCCUGACCGAUGGGAGGCAGGCGUGGGGUCGCCCUCGGUCAGCCCAGAGCCCCUCGUGCCCCCUAGCACCAGCUGUACGUAGCCUCGCGGAGCGCGGUGGCCCAGAUCGCGUUGCACCGCUGCGCUGCCCACGGCCGCGUCUGCACCGAAUGCUGUCUGGCGCGUGACCCCUACUGCGCCUGGGACGGGGUCGCGUGCACGCGCUUCCAGCCCAGUGCCAAGAGGCGGUUCCGGCGGCAAGACGUAAGGAAUGGCGACCCCAGCACGUUGUGCUCCGGAGACUCGUCUCGUCCCGCGCUGCUGGAACACAAGGUGUUCGGCGUGGAGGGCAGCAGCGCCUUUCUGGAGUGUGAGCCCCGGUCGCUGCAGGCGCGCGUGGAGUGGACUUUCCAGCGCGCAGGGGUGACAGCCCACACCCAGGUGCUGGCAGAGGAGCGCACCGAGCACACCGCCCGGGGACUACUGCUGCGCAGGCUGCGGCGCCGGGACUCGGGCGUGUACUUGUGCGCCGCCGUCGAGCAGGGCUUUACGCAACCGCUGCGUCGCCUGUCGCUGCACGUGUU
rnacentral:sRNA from 1 species